UACGUAGGGGGCUAGCGUUGUCCGGAUUUAUUGGGCGUAAAGAGCGUGUAGGCGGUCCGGUAAGUCCGCUGUGAAAGUCGGGGGCUCAACCCUCGAAUGCCGGUGGAUACUGUCGGGCUAGAGUGCGGAAGAGGCGAGUGGAAUUCCUGGUGUAGCGGUGAAAUGCGCAGAUAUCAGGAGGAACACCAAUGGCGAAGGCAGCUCGCUGGGACGUGACUGACGCUGAGACGCGAAAGCGUGGGGAGCAAACAGG
rnacentral:rRNA from 1 species